AAUGAAUGAAUGAAAGAUUCUGUCAAAUGAAAUAGACUGAUUUCACCUAUCAACUGUCCAAUUUUUAUUCUGAGGUU